rnacentral:lncRNA from 1 species
AAAUUUAAAGUUAGAAGAAGGGAAAAAAAACUAACAAAGUCCUGUUUGAAAUUUUGCCAGCUAGGAGAUGAUGGCCAAAGAUGGAUAAGCUAAAAACUGAGACAGCUGAACAACACCAGUAUCUUAUGUGAGUCUGUCCAGAAGAAAUAAAUCUCCAAGAUGACAUAUUCCUGGCCCCAGAGAGAGACACAUCAAAAGAGGGAAUACAAGCAGAGAGAGAGGGAGAAGCAGGCUUCCCGCUGAGAAGAGAGCCUGAUGCGGGGCUUGAUCCCAGACCCUGGGAUCAUGACCUGAACUGAAGGCAGACGCUUAAGGACUGAGCCACCCAGGUACCCUUUGAUUGAAACUUUUUGUCUUUUUUUUUAAAGAUUUUAUUUAUUUGUCAGAGAGAGAGAGAG